AGAGUUUGAUCCUGGCUCAGGAUGAAUGCUGGCGGCGUGCUUAACACAUGCAAGUCGAACGGAGAUUAUACGCAGAGGCGAUUUCGGUCAAAUCAUGUGUAAUCUUAGUGGCGGACGGGUGAGUAACGCGUGGGUAACCUGCCUUACACUGGGGGAUAACACUUAGAAAUAGGUGCUAAUACCGCAUAAGCGCACAGCUUCGCAUGAAGCAGUGUGAAAAACUCCGGUGGUAUACGAUGGUUCCGCGUCUGAUUAGCUGGUUGGCGGGGUAACGGCCCACCAAGGCAACGAUCAGUAGCCGGCCUGAGAGGGUGAACGGCCACAUUGGGACUGAGACACGGCCCAAACUCCUACGGGAGGCAGCAGUGGGGAAUAUUGCACAAUGGGGGAAACCCUGAUGCAGCGACGCCGCGUGAGUGAAGAAGUAUUUCGGUACGUAAAGCUCUAUCAGCAGGGAAGAAAAUGACGGUACCUGACUAAGAAGCCCCGGCUAACUACGUGCCAGCAGCCGCGGUAAUACGUAGGGGGCAAGCGUUAUCCGGAUUUACUGGGUGUAAAGGGAGCGUAGACGGCAGCGCAAGUCUGGAGUGAAAUGCCGGGGCCCAACCCCGGAACUGCUUUGGAAACUGUGCAGCUUGAGUGCGGGAGAGGUAAGUGGAAUUCCUAGUGUAGCGGUGAAAUGCGUAGAUAUUAGGAGGAACACCACCGGAGAAGAAGGCUUACUCGACGGUACCUAACUCUGAGGCUCGAAAAAGGGGGGGGCACCCACAAAAGGGUUACUCCCCUGGUUCUCCCACUCCUCGCCCCCCCAAAGGGCAGGGGGGCAAAAGUCCCCCCGGUGCCGGAGCAAACGCAUUAAGCAGUCCACCUGGGGAGUACGUUUGCAAGAAUGAAACUCAAAGGAAUUGACGGGGACCCGCACAAGCGGUGGAGCAUGUGGUUUAAUUCGAAGCAACGCGGAGAACCUUACCAGCCCUUGACAUCCCCCUGAACAUGCCGUAGCGGGCAUGGCCCUUAGGGGCAGGGGAGACAGGUGGUGCAUGGUUGUCGUCAGCUCGUGUCGUGAGAUGUUGGGUUAAGUCCCGCAACGAGCGCAACCCCUGCCCCCAGUAGCCAGCGGCGAGGCCGGGCACUCUGGGGGGACCGCCGGGGACAACCCGGAGGAAGGCGGGGACGACGUCAAAUCAUCAUGCCCCUUAUGGGCUGGGCUACACACGUGCUACAGUGGCGCCGACAAAGGGAGGCGAAGCGGCGACGCGGAGCAAACCCCAGAAACGGCGCCCCAGUUCGGAUUGCAGCCUGCAACUCGGCUGCAUGAAGCCGGAAUCGCUAGUAAUCGCGGAUCAGGAUGCCGCGGUGAAUACGUUCCCGGGUCUUGCACUCACCGCCCGUCA
rnacentral:rRNA from 1 species